ACCCGGCUUUUAUUGACUAAUGAAGGAGGAUGGAGCAAUGCAGAAACAGAAACUCCAUGAGAAGGAACGCGGCCACGCGAUUUGGACUCCUCGUCGUCGUAAUAUCUCCAAGAAGCAAUGCAGUCGCCGGCGACGUAUUCUUUGAAUUCAUCACCAUUGUAUCUCUUUGAAGACCGACCUCUCGUUUCCACAGCACCGCCGCAUAUUCAAUCGUCUGUCAUCAGACAUCGCAUUUGGAUUUGCAUCGCAGAGCUCUCCACCAUGGAUUCACCGUCUUCACGUCUUGGAAUUGUGUGAUCCGUCGACUUCAAACAAGAAUUCGAUUCACCAACUCAACGAUUCAACGCUUCAAUCGUCGAGUUUUGCGAAAAAAGGACAAACAGCGUCAAAAAAAUGGAUCCGAGAUGUACCAGAUUGAUGCCUUAAUGGUGAAUAGUGAGCGAUUGCACCUGUGUUGCGAGGUUGCAGUGUGAAUUCCUUCAAUGCAGGGUCGACUCCUCUGAUGCGGAAUCGAAAUCUUUGAUGCGAAAUUUGAAGCAGUGUUGGUUGAUGCAUGUAGAUUACAACCCUAAGUUUGCAGAGUUUAGUGUGAAAGCAGAACGAAUGAGAUUGGGAGAUGCUUGGUGUAGAGUGAAGUGAUUGCAGCAGGGAAAAAUUUGCAGAAUGAAGAAGAAGAAAACUGUGGACUGAAGAUAGGUGCUUUCACUUGUGUUCAGCUCCACCAUGGAUCGAAUCUAUCCGGCUGACUACAUGAUCAAUCAUUAUUAUACCUUCCAGCACGUCUUGUCGCUCGAACAUGAUACCGCCUAUUAGAUGAAGCAUAGCGCUCACGGACAGCAUGGUACAUGUAAUUGUCCAACUCCCUUCCUUGGAACCUUGCUAGCAAGUAGAAAUGGUGGUACGUACAUAAGGGUCUAAUACAGGAUCUGGUUAACAAGGCACAAGCAGCAAGUCCAAUUCCUAUUACUGAUGAGAUCUUCUUCUCUAAAACAAGUGAUAAUUUAGUUAUAACUUGGAGUGAGUGGUGUAAUGUGAUGUUGAUUUGAAUGUGGUGUAUGUAAUUGUAAUGAUGAAAUGAACUAUUAUAUUGUGAUUUAGAAUUUGAAAUGGUCUUGUAGUCUUGGACUAGUGAAAUGGGUUUAUGGCACAAGUCAAAAGUUAACUGAAUUGAUUUUGGGUUUUGUUGUAAUAGUGUAAUGAGAUUAGAUUGUAGGAAUGAAUGUAGUUGACUUGGGAAUUUAUUGUAAUUUGUGUAUGUGACUUUUGAA